rnacentral:misc_RNA from 1 species
GAUGAAGAACGUAGCGAAAUGCGAUAAGUAAUGUGAAUUGCAGAAUUCAGUGAAUCAUCGAAUCUUUGAACGCACAUUGCGCCCGCCAGUAUUCUGGCGGGCAUGCCUGUUCGAGCGUCAUUACAACCCUCAGGCCCCCGGGCCUGGCGUUGGGGAUCGGCGGAGCCCCCCGUGGGCAUACGCCGUCCCCCAAAUGCAGUGGCGGUCCCGCCGCAGCUUCCAUCGCGUAGUAGCUAACACCUCGCGACUGGAGAGCGGCGCGGCCACGCCGUAAAACACCCAACUCUUCUGAAGUUGACCUCGAAUCAGGUAGGAAUACCCGCUGAACUUAAGCAUAUCAAUAAGCGGAGGA